GCAUAGCUCAGUUGGUCAGAGCAUGGUGUUGAUAAUGCCAAAGUUGCGGGUUCAAUCCCCAGAAGGGACAGCUGCA